CCUGAUCACCUGGGACCCUAAUGAGCAGAAGCGGUAAAGAAAAGUGAAGGAAGCGAUGACAGCUUUGACGAAGGCAGGAGUUGCGGCCAAAACUAUCUACCUAGUAGAACUUUUCCUCUUCCUUCAACCCACAAUGAUAAUGAAGAGGACAAAAAAGAGGAUGGUAUUCCUGCAGGAGUGGGAAGAGGCAUCCUAAAGAAAAGGUCAGACUGAACAAACUGCACACAAGACAGUGGCAUCAGUACUAGGAAGAAUCUACUGCCUAAACUCGAUGAAGCUGCAUCUAAUUUUUACUUCAGUCUACAGCAGUUGCACUUAACUCUUGAAGAACUGCCUGGUCACAACCAAAAAACACUCAUGUUAUAUGUGAGUCAGAAACACAAACCUGAAACCAAAGUUGAACGUAACUCCAAAAAAUAUGUUUAGUGGAUGGACAACACUGCUUAUCAACAGAAGAAUGCAAUACAGUGCCUAAUCCUACUAUACUGUAACAUGGAAGCAUGUUUUGGAGCUGUGUUUCUGGGGAUUAAGUUCAUCUGAAAGAAUAAUGAACGUUUGGAAAUGGAAGACAGAGUUUGCACAAAACCUUUCUUUUUCUAGAAAGAAAAAAAGUGAUGAAAACCCCACGAUAACAACUGAUCUUUAGUGGUGUUAAACAAAGGCACUUAAAAAUUUUGGCAGGUGACCACCAUCGAACGUGGGUUCAAAUGUUGAUUUUGAACAUUUCCACAUCACAAUUAGAAGUGGAUGUGCAGUCUUUUGCAACGGUAUUUUUUUUUUUUUGCAAGAAAGAUCAGGUGGUUUGACUGGGUUGUGGAGGUUUAUGUCAUAUUAAAUCGCAAGACAUCACUAUUUACGAAUGACAUUUACAGUAUAUAAAAGACAAUUGAUCAAAGUAUUAAAGUAUGCAAUUUGUGAAUUUCUUAGUCUUUUAAUAAAGGACAAGAUCAUGUUUAAACAGGAAACAAAAGAGAAAUCAUAUGAGGGGAAAAAAGACAUGACAAGGUGGGAUUCCACAUCAUGAUGUUUAUUAAGCAAAUGCUGCUGGGAAAUUGUUGAUGUAAGGUCACGGGCCUGCAAACAGUAGCACCUCAUAAAUUUCAAUAUUUCAAGUCAGGUUACUAUGCGAAUGCAAGAAUGCUACACCCUAAGCACUCGUACAGUAUUUCUUUGUAUUUGCGCUUGGGUAAACGUAACAGACAGGGAUUCAAAAGCAUGUUUAAGGCUAGGACUUUCGCGGGGUCCGUCGAAAACUCCAUGUAGUUGUUUGAUCAUCCUGUUGUCAUUCGCUGCUGCAGGUGUGUCAUUUCUUUUUGGCUGAGUUGCUAUGGUCACGUCAGGUAUAAGGCUACGUAAACACAGCAUUUUUACGUGUGCAAAGGACCCCCCAAUAACCAUCCACCCUCGCCACCCUUCCCUCAUUACUUACGCUACAAAAAAGUCAUAUACUAUAUAAUGGAUCCCCUAACAUACAGUGUCUUCUCUGUCAUUCAUACAUACAUACAUCGGUGAGGAAAGUGCCCUCCCCUCCAGCCCCUGAGCCAAAGCAUGCAAAGCCCACCCCAAAACCCACAAGCCCAUCAGUGAACAGCGGCAAAAACGGAAGAAGAAAUGUCUUGAUGGCUCGCCCCUCUCAGCGUCUGCAAACAUGCAUUUCUAACAUUUGUAGCAUUUGGCUUCUCUCUAAGUUUUGUAUGUUAUAUUAUGUCGCUCUAGCUGUAUGGUGUUCUCUUAUGUUAGUUCUGCUUGAUUGCUUUUCAUCACGCUGACUCCCCGAAUUGCCGUUGAGGCCAACUCCUCAGUCACCCUCAGUCACCUGCUUGAUUGACUGGCUGGAGUGCUUCUCCGUCUUCAUGGUGGAGACCAACUUCUCCUGCAGUGUUUCCUCCAUUUCCUUCACCGUUUCGGUAACUGUGAUGGACUUGGUGACCUGCUGUGAGCCGUCUUCCCCUGUAGUGAUGGUCUCCACCGUUUUGGUGAUCACCACCUUCUGGCUAGCGUCGUCCUUGACGGGACUUUCGUCCACGCCGUUGAUAAUCACUUCGUUGCCCUCGCCCUUUUUCUGCUCCUCUUCCUUUGAGCCGGUCUUGUCCACAUCGCCAUUCAUUGCGGCAUCUUUUGUCUUCUUGGUGUCUUCAGCAGGCUUCGAUGUGUCAGGUUUGCUUGUUUCCGUCUUAGGAGAUUCUGCCUUUGGUGGUUCUUGCUUUGCUGAUUCUGACUUCGGGGACUCUGCUUUUGGGGAGAUAGCCUUCGGUGAUUCGUCUUUGGGGGAUCCGGGCUUGGGGGAUUCUGAUUUAGGGGACUCUGCC